GUAACUGUGAAAGCAUGGGAGUACACCGUGUGAUCGCUGGGUUGUCUGGGCUGGUUCGCAAGCCCAAUCCAGACAACACCUCAUCAAUAAAUGUAUCGAUAAAUAGUAAUACACAAAAUAUGCACAAAAAUGCAAAUGUCAAUAAUCUAAAUUAAUUCUGUAAUUAAAUAAUAAAUCCUAAGUUAAUCACUAAAAUCAAAAUCUAAUUCACAGUAAACAAAAAUUCCCAAGUCUAACUUAGACUUCCCGCCAAUAUGGCGUCUAAACAACGUGGUGUGGAAGAAACAAAAACAAGGGCAAGUCAACCAGGGUAAGCCUGUGGUAUUGAGUUGGGCGCCAAUAUAGUAACUAAGGGGUGUUAAAUGACCCAUUAAUCCGUGAUUACCCAAAGACUUACCCGUGCAGUCACUCAAAGUCAAUAAAAGCGUGCAAUCGAUGUCGCCGGCACUUUAUUAGAAAAUAAGCUAUACCAAAUCAUAUAUUUUGUGUGCUAUACAUUCAUGGAGCCAUAGCCUCCCUAGGCAUGGUAUACUUUUUAUUUCCCCUUUACUUAUAAACUUGGUAGGAAGCGUAUAUACCCUAAUUUUGUAACGUACGUGACUGUCGCCGACUCAAUUUUCAAAAUUGAACAAGCAAAUAUAAAAAUCUGAGAGCGUGUUUUUAAAUUUUCUUUGCGUUAAUAUCAUUUGUAUUUCCUAAAUUUUCAUUCAAUAAAAGUUUAACAACUUUUGCGUAUGAUUUUAUGCAGUGGUGUAUAUAUUACUCCAUGUCGCCAGAUUAUAUUAUGUGAUCAUAGGGUCAAUUAAACACCCAAUGUAUGGACAAAGAUUUCGAAUUAUCUUUAUGUUUUUGAUCUAUUUUGGCGCUAAAAUAUUCAAAAACGGUGUGAAAAUAUUCAUCAAGCGAUAUUUGGAUGUGGCAUUGAGAAGAAGUCAUCAUAUUCUCAAAAUUUUGAAUUCUGAUUUUAGAAAUGUAACAUACGAUACACUAAUUUUUUUUAUGAAAACGUAUUUGCAGAGCAAAUGUUACCCCUUUUAUGAAAAUCUCGUAGUGUACAGAGAAUGAAAAUAUAAACAUUUCUUUUGCAGAAGUCAUUGGUUGGUCUGAAAUUUGACAAACGUGUCAAGAUGUAACAUUCGUGAUGUAACAUUCGUUACCGAGAAAUUAAUUAAAGGGAAUGAUAGAACAAUUUCCAGCGUAUUUUUGCUCUCUCUCUGCAUGAUGUGGUAUACGACAUGAACGUCUACUAUGAACAUUUGAGUUUGAAAGUCAAUACGUGUUAAACUUUGAGAAUUAGGAUUAAUUUUCUCUUACGAAAUGGCGCUUGUGAGAGUAGAAGUACAGAAUAACUACCAUGAAAAAAAAAUGUAUUAAAACAUAAGAACAACCAUGAAAAAAUGUUUUAGAAAUAAUAUUAUAUGCUCCCCUUGUGGCAAUACUGAAAAGGUAGAAUGUCUAUAUAGACAGUGAAAAUAAAGGUUUAACUACCGGUCAAAGGCUACCAUAAUGAUACGUGUAAGUUUUGUCUCUCAAAAUACUUAUAAGCAACUGGUCAUUUGAGUAAUUUUGUAUGACCUUUGACCUUGUGACUUGGAAUCCAAUGGGGGUCAUCUAUUCAUAAGGGGCACCAGUGUUUCAAGUUUGAUGUCUAUCAAGGAAAGAUUUCUCAACGGACAAUAGCGUAUGUCCAGAGUAGUUUAACCGUUGUCCUUUUGACCUCAAAAUUAAUAGGGGACAUCGUUAAAUAUUCAUUCAUAACACCGCGUGGUGGAUUAUACUGACAGUUUCUAUGGAAAGGUAUUCCAAAAUAAGCAACAAAAACAUAAGAUUCGGUAUACAUUUAAUUAAAAUGUUGGGAAAUUAAACAUUUUCUUUAUAUUAUUAUUGUAAACAGAUUGUUAGAAAUGGGUACAUAUGAUUCUUUCCAUUUUUUGAAUAGAAAUGAUGUGUUUAUAGUAAUGAAUGGAAAAAUAAGAAACAUACGUUACUUUCAUUGUUUAUUAUAACAAAGAGCAAUCCAGGUUUCAAAACAUGUGUCUGUUAUUUCUACAAGAAUCAUGAGCAUUUAAAUAGCGAAACAUCAAUCUAUCACUUUUGUUUUAAUCGCACAUUUAUUGCAAAUUAACAAAUUCAGAAGAAAAGACACAUUUGGUAAAAAAUUUUGCUUGUCUACGUUAUAUUUCUAUUAAAAUUGGUAUUUCCAUUGAAUUAAGUGAUGUCGUUAUGAUUUUGCAACAUCAAUCGUAAAAAAUAACUGAUGGUGGCAUCGUUUUGGCACAAUAUUUUCAUGGAUGUACUGUUGUGUAAGUGUUGAAACAUACGUUACAUAAUUAUAGCGCCACUUCAUUUACAUACAAAAAAGCUAUCGUUCUAUAUCUAUUGCUAGUCUUUUGUUUUCAUGUUUCAUACAUAUUGAACUGUUCGAGAAUAUUUGUUAAUCAAUUUUAUUUUUUGCCAUUUCAAAGAUAUUGAAAGUGAUAUCUAGUCGUUUAUUUUGCGCUCUUAAAAUCUUAUUGCUGACUUUUACAGCAGAUAAUUUCUUGUUGUGUUGAUUAAAUAUUUUCUUUGAAAA